rnacentral:lncRNA from 1 species
CUGAUGUAAAUAAGUAGCUAGUCCUUCCAUAAAUGUAAAGCUAAGAAAAUAGAGCGGUCUGUCAAAAAAGUGUAUCUAGGGUGAAUUCAUGAGAAUCACCUUUUGCAUUUUUUUUAAAGAGGUGUUAGCCACAACCCAGGCACAUCCCAUGGGCAGUGGGAUCCAUGAGUCUUCAUUUUAACAAGAUCCCAGGCAAUUUUUAUACUCAAGUUUCAGGUUCCCUAGUCUAUCCAAUGAUGCUGCUCUUUUCAUACUGUUAUUUCUUUAAUAUAAUUCAUUGGACCUCCUUAAGUGAUGACUAAACAGUAAAAACUGGGCGUUCCCAUUGUAGCUCCACAGAAACGAAUCUGACUAGCAUCAGUGAGGAUGCAGGUUCGAUCCCUGGCUUCGAUCAGUGGGUUAAGGAUCCGGCGUUGCCGUGAGCUGUGGUGUGGGUUACAGACAUGGGUUGGAUCCGAUAUUGCUGUGGCUGUGGUGGAGGCCAGCAGCUACAGCUCCAAUUCGACCCCUAGCCUGGGAACCUCCAUAUGCUGCAGGUACGGCCCUAAAAAGACAGAAAAAAAAAAAGUAAAAACUGGAAUUGGCGAUAGAAGAUAGAAUGGCAUUUAUUAGGUCAAAUGGACAAGGUUGGAAAGCCACCUCUAUCCUGCCUUCUGGUUUUAAAACAUAUUGAACUUUCAAGUUAACUUUUAUUUAAAGAACUUCAAAUUCUAGCCGUUUUGGUAACUCAGAAGACAUUUCCAAACUCAGGUUCAGUUAGAGGGCGUCAGAUGUCACGGGUUCAUUUGGAACACGGAUGGUGGGUGACUGGGAGCACCUCGGCUGCUCCCUGGUAAUUGCACUGGAGGGCAAUUUGCACGUUAUGUAACGGGCCUCUCCCGGAGUCAUCUUUCCUAGAGAGGCUGCAGCUUGGCAGCUCACGAAAUUUGAAUCUGGGCCCAGAACAGGUCAGCUUUUCCCCACCUUCUGCUCUGCUCCCGGUGCUCAUGGUGUUCUGAGCCCCUUUGACCUUAACUCUGACCUUGGUACAAAUGACUUUCAACUCCAUGGCUCACACUCAGCCUCUCCCCUGUGCCAGGCCCGGGAGGUAUGGCCUCUUGGCUUUUUCCGCGGGAAUGAGCUAGUCGGAGAAAAUCAGAGUCACACUAGAGCUAUGCUCUGCUCUCGUCCCUCCUGCAUUCUGACCCACGUCCCUCCUCUCGGCUCCCCACCUGACACCCCCCACUCAGGACCGUCCAGCCAGCUCACCUAGGGACCUCCUUUUGUGCUGAUGUUCAGAUUGGCCUCUGAUCACAUCCUCUGCCCUCUGGUGCAUCCCCCGUGGAAGAAAGCGGACGGUCAAACCGGUGCCUAAAGAGGUCAAGAGACAGCAGAGAGAGAGAUGUGUUUGGCUGUCCACUUUCCUGCUAAGACCUUCUGUGACCACUGAGCCCCACAGGCAUAAAGCUCGGGUGCUCCCCCGCCCCCGCCACCUGCCACUGUCUCCCCAUGCCCCCAGCAGAGAAGUCCUCGCCUUCCGCUGUGUGAGUCACUCACCUUCUCCGGUCCUGAGUCCUGGCUCUUCUCAUCUGGGGCUGCAGUGCCCUGGGCUGGGCUCCCGUCCCACCUCAGACCCUCUUCAUUAUCUCGGCCGCCUCUGGAGCCCACAGGGAUCUCCUCCUGCCCAGAUCCCUUUAGCUUAUGCUGUCUGCCCCCUUCUUCGAGCCCCGGGGUUUUAUAAGGCCUGCGUGGGAACCUGUCUUUUCACCCAAACUCAAGUGUGCUUCCGGGGGUGAACCCUGACCUGUCUUGUCUCCCAUGAGGAUUGGGCUCAGUGGGGCCCCCUGUGUGUGUGUGUGUGUGUGUGUGUGUCGCGCACGCACACACGCACACCUUGCACCUUGUCCACCAGCAGAAGCAUCCCGCAUUGGGGCGCUGGGUCUCCAUUUUCAAAGAUCUUACCAAUCUUCAUGGCAGCCUUUCAGGUAGACGAGGCAGACGUGACCCAGCCUCACUGAGGAAGCAGCCAAGCUUCAGAGAAGUGGAGUGAACUGUGGGCAGUCAGUCUGGGGCCAGUCGGUGUUACAGUGAGAACAAGGGAAGGUGGACGUACUAAUUGCAUGUUGUAAUGUCUGACUCGGAGGCUGGAAUCUUGCCUCUUCCACCACUAGCUUGCUGUGUGAUCCUAGGUAAGUUACCUCACCUCUCUGUGCCUGAGAUAGUGAUGAGGAUAAAAAGAAAAGAUCCUACAAAGUGCUUUGCACAGUGCAUGCUGGGUACAGUUGAGCUAACCUCCCUAAAGUUAAAAUCAAAAUCAUCAGCUGUCCCACGUCGCCACCAGGAGAAGGCCUUGAGGAAUUUCCAAAGUCAACUUGCAUUUGCUCUGUUACUCAUUUUAACUUACUUGGAGGGUUAAAGUAGGAGGAUGUUUCUUGAGCUCCCUGCAAGGGAGUUGGAUUUAAAUACGAAUGCCUACGAUUCUUUAGCAUAUGCAAAGAUUUAACUACCAGGCUCCUCACGCUGGUAAUUAUGAAGUGUAGAGGGACUCUAAUGGGUGCAUUUGUGGCACUAAGUGGUUCGGUUAAUGGAAGUCAUGCAGUUACAUCGCCAGGUUGGGUGAAAAAUAGAGAGAUCAGCGUUGUCAUCUCUGCCUCUGAAUUACCCGGCUUUUGUCUGGUUGAUUGAUUGUGACAAUCUUAACAUUAAAAAAAAAAAAAAAAAACGCGUAACAUUAUCUUCCAAGUUUUUAAUGUGUCAGAGACAAGCACAUUAAGAUUUCGGUUAGAUUAAGUUAUCAAGUAUAUAUAAUUUCAAGAGGAACAGGCCAUUGUUAUAUGAGUUUACUUUUUUAAGCACAGCUAUAAAAUCUUUUCCAAAUUGUCCUAUAUUUUUUCUUUGUUUCCCCAUCCUAUCAGUUUUUUAAAUGUAACUACAUGAAAGUGAGAAACACUGUGAGGCCUCAGUGGUAUCAGCAUCGCACAGCGGUUCAGGUUGAACAAAACUCACAGCAGCGAUGCCAAACCCUCGGCAUAACUUACAUCAUACUCAUAGCUCAGUUUCUGUUUGUUUUCCAUUUCAAUUACUUUCACAUUAAAACAAGCAAGAAUGUAGUUACCUUUUCCCUGCACAAACGUGAACUGAAGGAGGCCCUGCUCUGCUGUGGCCUCUGAAAUGCGAAGAUGAAGCUGGUUCUCAGCCUGUGAGAGCGCAGUCACUCCUUUACUCACAGCUCUUUACAUUCCGCUCCAUCCCAGGGGAGGAACUCUGCAGAGGUCUCCUUUCUGGGCUGUUCUUCCUCUGUGGCCAAGGAAGGAGGACCCCAGCACAGGCCCACCAACCACGGGGACGGGCGCAGGUCACCAGGUGCCCAGAGGGGAAGUGCCGGCCUCCCCACCAAGCUGUUGAGUGGUUCAAAGGGCAGGCAGCAGGGUCACCUUACACGGUGACAACUUUAGUGCCUUCUACAGGGAAGAAGCAAAGAAAUGUCCACUUGCUCAGACGGGCCUGAGGUCCACUCAAGAGUCAGCAGUAACAAUAACCAGCCCUGGCCAGCAGCGCCCAAGCCCUCUGGGGCAGUGGGUGAGGAGGGUGGGUACCAGGGGCUCUUUGGAGGGCCUGCCUUGUUCCCGGCUCUGCCCUUAAUCAGUGUGAGUCAGAAAGCAAGAUGAGACUGGGUCUUGCAAUGGUGACAAACAGAAAGCAAAUUGAGCUCCAAAAGGAAGUUAGAGAAAGAGCUAUUCAGAGUCCUUAAAUUAAAUUAAUUGAUGGACACCUGCUGUUUACAAAGUACUGAGCUGGGGGAGGGCAAGUUUUCAAAUGUGAAUAAAACCUGGUAGUUUUAAGUACAGCCAAAUAUAACUGAACUUUGAAUCCCUUAGUAAGGCAAAGUGUAGACAGAGGUUCUCCACAUUAAAUUCUGGAAGGGUGGGCUCUAAAAUAGGGUGCUCUUGUGGAAUGUUUUAUUUUAGUGUAUAUUUUAUAAUGCAUGUGAUAUGUUACUAUACUGAUCCUUUCCUUAUAUAUAAUUUGUUUAAAAGUAGACUAGAAAUAAAAGUGCAUUAAACUUCUUUUACUGAUAGGAAUGGGCAAAAUCAUUUGGAGUCCUCUGUAUUAGCAUAUACUGGAAAAGCAAAUGCUCACCCCUAGGACUCUGCACGUUUGUGCAUCCCCACAUUCCUUUGCUGCAGUUUCAGUAGCUUGGGAGGAUGUGUAAGCAAUGAGUGCCUUGCAUCAGUGAAUCAGUGCCUUCAACUGGCUCAUUCAGGCUCACCUGCCAUACUUGGGCGGACAUCUGCUUUUUCUGAUACGUUAAUGACUAGACGUAAUUGUUGAGAGAAGAGUAAGCAAGUGAUGUUUCAGGGAUAGGAGGACCAGCUCUAGAAUGGUGCCAAGAGAAAUUGCUGCCAAGCAAGAUAAAAAGUCCGUGCUUUCUGGCGUUCCGUUAUUACUGAGAGGUGGUUCUUGGGCUGCAGACAGCAAAGCCAGCUCCAGGACACCCCGUCUGAUUGGAGGCGUCCGUAAGAGGUGACUGGCAGAUGAGGAUGGAGGUGAGGGUGGAGAGAAGGAUGAAGGUGAGCAGGGAAGAGUGGGGACGAGAAGGGGAGGAGAGUGGAGAGGAGGAGGGAGAAGCUUGGAGAGGCAGAGGCUGAGGGCCCGCAAGGAUUAACACCACAGACUUAAGCAGACAGGGCCCUCCUAACCUAGCAGAAUCCUUCAACCCCAUGAAUUGGAGACUGGAAGUGUCCCAGAGUCACAGAGAUCUUGUGAGGUUAGUCAACCUAUUGAAAAUAGCUGGGCCAUUCCCAUGGUGGCUCAGCGGGUUAAGAACCUGACUUGUCUCUGCAGGGAUGUGCGUUCGAUCUCUGGUUUCACUCAGUGGCUUAAGGAUCUGGCAUUACUGCAGGCUGUGGCACAGGUCACAGAUGCAGCUUGGGUCCGGUGCUGCUGUGGCUGUGGUGUAGGGAGCAGCUGCAGCUCAGAUUCCACCCCUAGCCUGGGAACUUCCAUCUGCUGCAGGUGUGGCUGUAAAAGAAAAAAAAA